GUGGAGAUAGCUGAGGACUGGAAACAGCAGGCACCUCAGCGAGGAGCCAGGAGCAGCCCGUAAGUGUGGAAUUCAAGAGGAGGGGCAGGUUUCCUGACCUGGAACUUACUCCAGCCUGAGGAUUCCAAGAUCUAAAAUAGGCCACCACAGGCUCAGCCUGACUCCAGCUCUGAGUUCACUUGCUGUGGACGCCUCCCACCAAAUAUUUCCCAGGCCAGGAGCCAUGAAGUCCACCUUCUGAAGGACAAAGGUGAGCAUUCAUGCUGCACUCUCCUGGGAAGCCUCCUGUCUGUUUAUGUGUAAAGGUACACUCUGGUAGCUGCCUGCAGCAUAUAUGAGUAAAAGUCGUGCUUCCUAAACAGUGACUUCUGAUCCUCUGGCAAUGUGUGACUCGGGGCAGACUGCUUACGUCUUUGUGCUCUAGUUUCCUCAUCUGCACAAUGGGACAUACCACGCGGUGCCACAGAGGUUCUUAUUAAAGUAAAC
rnacentral:lncRNA from 1 species